rnacentral:rRNA from 1 species
GGGUUGUGAGGUUAAGCGACUAAGCGUACACGGUGGAUGCCCUGGCAGUCAGAGGCGAUGAAGGACGUGCUAAUCUGCGAUAAGCGUCGGUAAGGUGAUAUGAACCGUUAUAACCGGCGAUUUCCGAAUGGGGAAACCCAGUGUGAUUCGUCACACUAUCAUUAACUGAAUCCAUAGGUUAAUGAGGCGAACCGGGGGAACUGAAACAUCUAAGUACCCCGAGGAAAAGAAAUCAACCGAGAUUCCCCCAGUAGCGGCGAGCGAACGGGGAGCAGCCCAGAGCCUGAAUCAGUGUGUGUGUUAGUGGAAGCGUCUGGAAAGGCGCGCGAUACAGGGUGACAGCCCCGUACACAAAAAUGCACAUACUGUGAGCUCGAUGAGUAGGGCGGGACACGUGGUAUCCUGUCUGAAUAUGGGGGGACCAUCCUCCAAGGCUAAAUACUCCUGACUGACCGAUAGUGAACCAGUACCGUGAGGGAAAGGCGAAAAGAACCCCGGCGAGGGGAGUGAAAAAGAACCUGAAACCGUGUACGUACAAGCAGUGGGAGCACAGAGCAAUCUGUGUGACUGCGUACCUUUUGUAUAAUGGGUCAGCGACUUAUAUUCUGUAGCAAGGUUAACCGAAUAGGGGAGCCGAAGGGAAACCGAGUCUUAACUGGGCGUUAAGUUGCAGGGUAUAGACCCGAAACCCGGUGAUCUAGCCAUGGGCAGGUUGAAGGUUGGGUAACACUAACUGGAGGACCGAACCGACUAAUGUUGAAAAAUUAGCGGAUGACUUGUGGCUGGGGGUGAAAGGCCAAUCAAACCGGGAGAUAGCUGGUUCUCCCCGAAAGCUAUUUAGGUAGCGCCUCGUGAAUUCAUCUCCGGGGGUAGAGCACUGUUUCGGCAAGGGGGUCAUCCCGACUUACCAACCCGAUGCAAACUGCGAAUACCGGAGAAUGUUAUCACGGGAGACACACGGCGGGUGCUAACGUCCGUCGUGAAGAGGGAAACAACCCAGACCGCCAGCUAAGGUCCCAAAGUCAUGGUUAAGUGGGAAACGAUGUGGGAAGGCCCAGACAGCCAGGAUGUUGGCUUAGAAGCAGCCAUCAUUUAAAGAAAGCGUAAUAGCUCACUGGUCGAGUCGGCCUGCGCGGAAGAUGUAACGGGGCUAAACCAUGCACCGAAGCUGCGGCAGCGACGCUUAUGCGUUGUUGGGUAGGGGAGCGUUCUGUAAGCCUGCGAAGGUGUGCUGUGAGGCAUGCUGGAGGUAUCAGAAGUGCGAAUGCUGACAUAAGUAACGAUAAAGCGGGUGAAAAGCCCGCUCGCCGGAAGACCAAGGGUUCCUGUCCAACGUUAAUCGGGGCAGGGUGAGUCGACCCCUAAGGCGAGGCCGAAAGGCGUAGUCGAUGGGAAACAGGUUAAUAUUCCUGUACUUGGUGUUACUGCGAAGGGGGGACGGAGAAGGCUAUGUUGGCCGGGCGACGGUUGUCCCGGUUUAAGCGUGUAGGCUGGUUUUCCAGGCAAAUCCGGAAAAUCAAGGCUGAGGCGUGAUGACGAGGCACUACGGUGCUGAAGCAACAAAUGCCCUGCUUCCAGGAAAAGCCUCUAAGCAUCAGGUAACAUCAAAUCGUACCCCAAACCGACACAGGUGGUCAGGUAGAGAAUACCAAGGCGCUUGAGAGAACUCGGGUGAAGGAACUAGGCAAAAUGGUGCCGUAACUUCGGGAGAAGGCACGCUGAUAUGUAGGUGAAGUCCCUCGCGGAUGGAGCUGAAAUCAGUCGAAGAUACCAGCUGGCUGCAACUGUUUAUUAAAAACACAGCACUGUGCAAACACGAAAGUGGACGUAUACGGUGUGACGCCUGCCCGGUGCCGGAAGGUUAAUUGAUGGGGUCAGCGCAAGCGAAGCUCUUGAUCGAAGCCCCGGUAAACGGCGGCCGUAACUAUAACGGUCCUAAGGUAGCGAAAUUCCUUGUCGGGUAAGUUCCGACCUGCACGAAUGGCGUAAUGAUGGCCAGGCUGUCUCCACCCGAGACUCAGUGAAAUUGAACUCGCUGUGAAGAUGCAGUGUACCCGCGGCAAGACGGAAAGACCCCGUGAACCUUUACUAUAGCUUGACACUGAACAUUGAGCCUUGAUGUGUAGGAUAGGUGGGAGGCUUUGAAGUGUGGACGCCAGUCUGCAUGGAGCCGACCUUGAAAUACCACCCUUUAAUGUUUGAUGUUCUAACGUUGACCCGUAAUCCGGGUUGCGGACAGUGUCUGGUGGGUAGUUUGACUGGGGCGGUCUCCUCCUAAAGAGUAACGGAGGAGCACGAAGGUUGGCUAAUCCUGGUCGGACAUCAGGAGGUUAGUGCAAUGGCAUAAGCCAGCUUGACUGCGAGCGUGACGGCGCGAGCAGGUGCGAAAGCAGGUCAUAGUGAUCCGGUGGUUCUGAAUGGAAGGGCCAUCGCUCAACGGAUAAAAGGUACUCCGGGGAUAACAGGCUGAUACCGCCCAAGAGUUCAUAUCGACGGCGGUGUUUGGCACCUCGAUGUCGGCUCAUCACAUCCUGGGGCUGAAGUAGGUCCCAAGGGUAUGGCUGUUCGCCAUUUAAAGUGGUACGCGAGCUGGGUUUAGAACGUCGUGAGACAGUUCGGUCCCUAUCUGCCGUGGGCGCUGGAGAACUGAGGGGGGCUGCUCCUAGUACGAGAGGACCGGAGUGGACGCAUCACUGGUGUUCGGGUUGUCAUGCCAAUGGCACUGCCCGGUAGCUAAAUGCGGAAGAGAUAAGUGCUGAAAGCAUCUAAGCACGAAACUUGCCCCGAGAUGAGUUCUCCCUGACUCCUUGAGAGUCCUGAAGGAACGUUGAAGACGACGACGUUGAUAGGCCGGGUGUGUAAGCGCAGCGAUG